UGGAGGAAUAGCCCCAGUGGCGGGGUCAGCUCUGGAAACCUGGAUUCAGCCCCCUCCGGAGCUCUCCGUCUGCAGGGCCUGGAGACUCCGGGGCGGG
rnacentral:pre_miRNA from 1 species